AGGGAAGAAGGGAAUGAAAGGAAGUAGAAGCGGAUGUGGAUUUGGAUUAUGGAAUAACAAAUUCGUUCAAAAUUGAUGAGACUACAACUUUUGAUAAGGAGUCGGAGAUUGAUGUAUAUUUGUUGGAAUCCCUUGUUCCAACUGAUAGUAAUUUUGACAUACUUUAUUGGUGGAAGCAGAAUGAACAUCGAUUUGAGGUUCUUAGUCACAUUAGUA
rnacentral:misc_RNA from 1 species